AUUGAACGCUGGCGGCAGGCCUAACACAUGCAAGUCGAACGAGUGGCGGACGGGUGAGUAAUGUCUGGGAAACUUCCUGAUGGAGGGGGAUAACUACUGGAAACGGUACCUCAUACCGCAUACCAUCAGAUGUGCCCAGAUGGGAUGAGCUUGUAGGUGGGGUAAAGGCUAACCAAGCCGACGAUCCCUAGCUGGGCUGAGAGGAUGACCAGCAACACAGGAAAGGUGACGAGGUCCAGACACCGACGGGAGGCAGCAGUGGGGAAUAUUGCACAAUGGGCGCAAGCCUUAUGCAGUCAUGCCGCGUGUAUGAAGAAGGACUGGGGGUUGUAGAGUACUUUCAGCGGGGAGGCGUUACCCGCAGAAGGAGCACCGGCUAACUCCGUGCCAGCAGCCGCGGUAAGUC
rnacentral:rRNA from 1 species